GCCGUCAUCGCCCGAGCUCUGCACAAACUCUUCCAUGUCCUGAAUAGAAGAAGGGCACCAAACAGUGGAACCUCAAAGGCAACCGAGAUGACACUGUCUGGGGUCUGAUGACUGACACCAAAAUGAUCCUUACCUUGUUGUCAACGUUGUCAUGAGCAGGAGAGCAGAGGGAAGAGCCAGCUUUGGACACGCACGCAGAAAAGGCGGACACGUCGGACAACCCACCGUCACAAACACCAUUACGCCGUUCAACAUGGCCGCGAGCCACAUUUGAAUCCGACCUGAUUGGCCCACAAAAGGAAGCUGGGGUUGACGCUGGGAAAUGGUGCUGGAUCGGGAAUGGCCUCCUCGGGUUGAGGAGGAAGUGGAGAAGCAGGAGGAGGAGGAGGAAGAGGAAGUGGAUGGACUGGACCUGACUGGGCCGGCUGAGCUUCAUACAGGGAGGUGGCAUUGCUAAACAGCUGACAUCAGGAAAAUAAUAUGAGGAAUACCUUCAGGACCUUGUGCGGCACCUCUGGCAACAUCUCCGCCAGCUGCGUCAGGGUGGCGCCGAGUAGCCAUGGCAACGAGGGCACCCUCCGAAGCA